UCCGUAGGUGGAUAAUUAAGUCAGAGUUGAAAUCCUGCAGCUCAACUGUAGAAUUGCCUUUGAAACUGGUUAUCUUGAGUUAUUAUGAAGUAGUUAGAAUAUGUAGUGUAGCGGUGAAAUGCAUAGAUAUUACAUAGAAUACCAAUUGCGAAGGCAGAUGACUAAUAAUCAACUGACACUGAUGGACGAAAGCGUGGGGAGCGAACAGGAUUAGAUACCCUGGUAGUCC
rnacentral:rRNA from 1 species